GACGAACGCUGGCGGCGUGCCUAAUACAUGCAAGUAGAACGCACAGGAUGCACCGUAGUUUACUACACCGUAUUCUGUGAGUUGCGAACGGGUGAGUAACGCGUAGGUAACCUGCCUGGUAGCGGGGGAUAACUAUUGGAAACGAUAGCUAAUACCGCAUAAGAACAUUUACUGCAUGGUAGAUGUUUAAAAGGUGCAAAUGCAUCACUACCAGAUGGACCUGCGUUGUAUUAGCUAGUAGGUGAGGUAACGGCUCACCUAGGCGACGAUACAUAGCCGACCUGAGAGGGUGAUCGGCCACACUGGGACUGAGACACGGCCCAGACUCCUACGGGAGGCAGCAGUAGGGAAUCUUCGGCAAUGGGGGGAACCCUGACCGAGCAACGCCGCGUGAGUGAAGAAGGUUUUCGGAUCGUAAAGCUCUGUUGUUAAGGAAGAACGAGUGUGAGAAUGGAAAGUUCAUACUGUGACGGUACUUAACCAGAAAGGGACGGCUAACUACGUGCCAGCAGCCGCGGUAAUACGUAGGUCCCGAGCGUUGUCCGGAUUUAUUGGGCGUAAAGCGAGCGCAGGCGGUUAGAUAAGUCUGAAGUUAAAGGCAGUGGCUCAACCAUUGUAGGCUUUGGAAACUGUUUAACUUGAGUGCAGAAGGGGAGAGUGGAACUCCAUGUGUAGCGGUGAAAUGCGUAGAUAUAUGGAGGAACACCGGUGGCGAAAGCGGCUCUCUGGUCUGUAACUGACGCUGAGGCUCGAAAGCGUGGGGAGCGAACAGG
rnacentral:rRNA from 1 species